AUAUAUUUCUUUUGAAAGUAUUUUGAUAGUAUUUUAGUGGAUUCAUGGACAGUAAGUAUAAACCAUAUAAUGUGGUACAAAUACUUCAGGAAAACAUGGUUAGCUGUUGAUUAAAGAGUGCUAAAUUAUGCGUUGUCUAAUGUACACUUUAUUGCGCUAUUUAGCACUYUUUGGUUAGCAUGUUUGCACUCAACCAUGGACAUUUUGCUUACAUGUACCAUAUUAUUAACUAUUGACAAUGCAAACAGUCGAAAUAGUACUUAAUAUUGAACGGUUUAUAAGAAUCUAUGCAGCUAGAUGCAAACUUAGCCUGUGUACAGACCGAAAUUUUCUCAAAGAAAAUUUCGGUCUAUACACAGGCUGUGCAAACUAUGCAUAAUGCAUAAUAUGCUUCAUCUUGUGCAUCCAUGCGGCUGCCAGGUAUUUCUCUUUUCCACAAAUGUUCAAUUUUUCAUCUUAAUAAUACAUAAUCAAACAAGUUUUAUAUAAACAAUGAAUUCUGUAAAAUAUGGAAUUGUGUACUAUUUAGAAUAUAGAAUAAAAUCUGUGGUAUUGGUCUCGGUGCUAAAAACCUAACAAUGCGUGCUUGGUCUCAUUGGAUCAUCAGCUUGAGCUAUGGCAAUGACUUGCUGUUGAACUUGUGUCGACUGCCUUGAAAAGUAAAUGUAAUAAUAGCGAUGUGGACGUUGAAAAAGAGUUUGUGUUAUUAAUACGUUUGUAAGAGUGUCAAUUUCCUCAAUUCUACUGUACUUCACACAAAAUUCGAUCACAUCAAACCUCGUCCACAUUUAGAAAACCAGCAGAGCUGUCCAGAUCAUCACUACGAUCACACAGUUUCAAACACAGGUGGCACUAGUUCACACAUUGAAAAUUCAGACUCAAUGCAAGUGUAAUAAAAUGAAAGGAAGUUCCAUUUCUUACGUUUGUUUUUGCGUUUGUACUGUGUUGGUAUUUCUCAGGUUGUGAACCAGUAGACAACGCGUCAGCACAUUUCAUMGUACUACACAUAACGUUGAAAUACACUUCGCUACACUAAAUCACAUUUUUCAAAACUGAAGAAUACUUUGGUGAAUGAAGUGCGGUGGAAUCCAAUGGCGAUUUGAAGGAGUAAACAAAUUCAAAGACACUCAUACAACCAUGCAGUCAUAUGUCUACUAAUAUAUAACGCUAUAAUUUAUUGAAAAGAUUCGUUAAUUGCAUUUAAAGCUAAAUAUAGUAUUAUUUAUUUAUGUGCAUUGUGUAACUAUUACUUUUAAUAUGAGAAAUAAUGCUUUACGGUGGCACAGGUAUCUGUAGUAAAUUAAUCAAAUUUGUUUUCUUGAUUUAUACUUGAUUAUAGUUUUGCGUUAAAAGCAGCUUCUUGGAGUUGAUUAAUGGUGUAAAUUAGGUCUGCUGAAUUUAAAUAAAAGGGUUUUGUUUGGGAUU